rnacentral:tRNA from 1 species
UCCCUGGUGGUCAGGGGUUAGGACUCUGCGCUUCUACUGCAGGGGACAUGGGUUCAAUUCCUGUUUGGAGAA